rfam:Loxodonta africana unplaced genomic scaffold scaffold_70, whole genome shotgun sequence.
GCAGUGGUGGUUCAGUGGUAGAAUUCUUGCCUUCCACACGGGAGACCCAGGUUCAAUUCCCAGUCGAUGCA